ACCUCGGAUCAGGUAGGAAUACCCGCUGAACUUAAGCAUAUCAAUAAGGCGGAAGAA
rnacentral:rRNA from 1 species